CGCUUGUCUCAAAGAUUAAGCCAUGCAUGUCGUAGUACUUGCUUUUCCUUAUGAAAGAGCGAAACCGCGGACGGCUCAUUAAAUCGGUUACGGUUCACUCGCCCGUCCGCGUCCUGCUUUGUCAGGGCGUAGUCGGAUAACUGUGGUAAUUCUAGAGCUAAUACGUGCAACUUACGGCUUCCGAGAAAAUCGGGGGCUGGCAUUUAUUAGUCUGGCGUGCGCGACCUUUAAGGUUUCGCGCGCCUGACGGCUCUGAAUAACGGUGGCGGAUCGUCCUCUUCUGAGGACGACCGGGCUUUUGAGUGUCCGCCUUAUCAACUUUCGACGGUAGGUUCAGCGCCUACCGUGGUGGUUACGGGUGACGGGGAAUCAGGGUUCGAUUCCGGAGAGGGAGCCUGAAAGACGGCUACCACAUCCAAGGAAGGCAGCAGGCACGCAAAUUACCCACUCUCCGAAAGAGAGGAGGUAGUGACGAAAAAUAACGAUACGGGACUCUUAACGAGGCCUCGUAAUCGGAAUGAGACCGCUUCAAAUCCUCGAGACGAGGAUCUAUCGGAGGGCAAGUCUGGUGCCAGCAGCCGCGGUAAUUCCAGCUCCGAUAGCGUAUAUUAAAGUCGCUGCGGUUAAAAAGCUCGUAGUUGGAUUUGGGUCGACCGGGCCGCCGGGCCGCCGCCUCCGUGUGGCGAGUUCCCGUGUGUCCCCGGGACCGCACGUUCACCCCCGCAGUGCUCUUAACUGAGUGUCUGCGGUAGCGGGUGACCGAACGUUUACCUUGACAAAACCGGAGUGCUCGAGGCGUGGGCGUUCGCCGCCCGUACGUCCUCGCUGGGAAUAAUGGAAGAGGACCGUUGGUCAAAAAAGGUUUUUUGUCAGAGAGGUGGGAGAGCAAAAAAGAGGUUGUGCUGGUGGGGGGUUACAAAGGGGGGUGACUCCCUUUCCCCCUCUGGUCUUCCUCUUUCUCCUCCUCGAAACCUUCCUCCCCGCGUACAGCACUGUGGAUCGGCUGGCGCUUUAUGGCGGAAAGGGUGGAUCUAGAAAGAAGGGUGAAAGCAGGUGGCUGUUUGCCAGAUGGUGAAAACCGGAUGGCCGGUCGUUUGUGGAAGCCUGGAAUCUUUUUCCCCCUUGCUGUCGUGGUGCUUCCGUACCCUCGGUGUCAGCGGGAGGAGGUCGAAAAUCAAAAUAAAAAAACGUGUCAUGAUUAAGAGGGACGGCCGGGGGCAUUCGUACCGCGGCGCGAGAGGUGAAAUUCUAGGACCGUCGCGAGACGAACGAUAGCGAAAGCAU
rnacentral:rRNA from 3 species